CUUGUGGAAAUUGCUAUAUACACAAAGGAAUUCAAAUUAGCCAUUUAUGUCAAUAUAGGAAACCCUAUGAACAGUACCUACUUAGCAGUAUUUUAGUGUAACUGGACAUCAAAAUGAGAACAUUUCUUUCUCAGGCUUCAGUGAGCUUUCGAGGACCAGGAGCACUAGAGUUGUUACCAGGUAUUCCCAUAUCACAGAAUGGAAUGUUCAUUCUGUAGUCUGGGCGAUCCAAGAACUACACAAUCCCUCUGCUCCUCCUCACACCGUAUAGGGGACCAGAGCUGGGAAGAAAUGGGGUGAGCCACACAGCCAAGGCUGUAGGUUGUGUAAGACAUUCCCAAAGCACUGAAGCGAUCAAAUGAUGAAACCGAGACUCAAUAUCAUCUUGCACAUCCUGAAGCUGCAUUUUCUAAAUAUUUUCCAAUAACUGAAAUAACUGGGAAGUAAUGAUUUAAAAAUCGGUGAAACACUACAAGACUAACAAAUGCAACUAAUACUUUAACCACGUCAGAAUCGUGAGAAAGAAAAAACACAGUGUUCAGCUCUGGUGAUGCCCUUAACAGCACACCUGAGGAGCCCAUGCAGAUCCUUAGAUCCACACAGGAAGCAUCCUUACCAUAGCAGUUUCUGCUUUUUCCGACCUAAGAAGAGAUAUAUUAGAAAUAAACGAAGAAGCCACGCCCACACCAGCAGCAGCUCCUCUGUAGUCCGAAGCCAAUUGGCAGCAGAGGAUGCUGGGAGCAAAGGCUCGGGCGCUGCCUUGUGUGCCCUGCCAGCCACCGUACAGCCGCCAUCUGCCGACUGCGAGUCCGGCACGCUCGCGGAAUUGGGGCCUGCCCCUCCUUUCGCUGAAUGGACCCCGUCCCAAAACUGUUCACCACAGAAGGGUAGCGGAGUCCACUUCACAGCCUUCUGUGCAGCUUGA
rnacentral:lncRNA from 1 species